UUGCAGGUCGGAGAUCUGGUGAGCAUUGUUGAUAUGCCACCAAAGGAGCUGAGCCCCUGGUGGAGAGGCAAGCGUGGCUUUGAGGUUGGGCUUUUCCCUGGUGAGUGCGUGGAACUCAUCAGCGGAAAAGUUCCCGAGUCCCUCCUCAAUUCAUUGCCAAAGCCAGGUACGUAUGUUACAUUUUAAGGUGCAGUGAAGUGAAAUGGAGUCUUUUAUUGCGUGUCCCAUGCCUAACACCUCCUUUGUACACCAUACAUUAUACUCUGUGUUGAUCAUCCUUCAUGCGUUCCAUUGCUGCCCUUUCUCCGUGUUGACCAUCCGUGGGUUCCUCCUCUUUGAAUGGCAUCCAGUGCUGAAUGUCUUUCAUCUGUUUCAUAUGGUAGUAGCAGCGUUCAUCUCCUGCAUGGUCUGAAAGACUCAAGGCACGUGUGAACGUAAGAUUCCUGCAGCAAUCCAUGCAGCUUCCCAGCUCUUGGUGUGUUACAUUCGUGUUUCUGGUUUUCUAUAAGUGCACAACAGUGGUCCAAAAAUGCUUAUGCUGAUUUAGAUGGAAUAGAUUAAUCAGGUGUUGUGAGCUGCUUUCUCUUUGGAGUGUGAUGGAGGAAGUCAGCUAGAACAGAACUUGGGAUCUUCAUUGCCUCUGUUCUGGGUCUAGAUUAACUCCAUCCACUCCUACCGCCCUUUGUUGUAUGAAGUGCAGGCAAACCAACAGCAGGCUCUGCUGUUGGAAGGGAAAAUAAGUAGGAGAUGUGAGCUGUCCUCCUCCUGUUAUCCUGGUAUCUGUUGGAAGUGGUUACAGGUGUUCGUGCUGGGAUGUCCAUAGAAUUUACUGGUGCUGAAGCUUUUGUUUGAUUCCUCCAGUUUUUUAUCUGCUGCUGUUUGUGUGUGUUUAUCUCCUGUAUCAUAAGGAGCAGUUUGAAACUGCUGAUCUGUCCUAAAACAUUACACAGCAGGCGUGUAGAGCUGGAGAGCUGCUUAACGAGUGUUCUUUUCAUCUGUUUUCUUUACUCUAAUGAUGAUCUUAUCUUACAAGAUUGCUGGUUUGAUACGCUGCAAACGGAUGCAAUUGCAAAGCCUGAUUUUUACUACAGGAAAUGCAUUGUAUCAGGUCUUGUGCUAGGAUUUGAGGCAUUCAGGUUCAAUAGUAAGAAGUUGUGAGAGGCCUUAAGUUAUCAGCCUGCUGCAUUCAUCUGCAUUCUCCAAGAGCAACAAUUCAGGGCAAUCAGUUUUGCAGCUUUUGUUAUUCCUGGGAGCAUGCAAAUGUAUUUGUUGGGAUCAGUGUCAGUUGGAGGCAAUGCAGCAGGUGGUCGUUCCCCAAGGGCAGCACCUCCUUCUGUUGGAUGCUGAGCUCCAUACACUGCGCUCAGUCCCUGCUCUGUGCUCUGUCAGCUGCAGCAUAGUAGAUGAGGGAGCCCUAUAUACAGGCUGAGCUGAUAGAAAUAGUCAUAAGUGAGUGUUUGUUGUUACGUAUGGCUCAGGCAAUUAAAUGUCAUGAACUGCUAGUGAGUAGGCUCUUGCUACGCUAUAAUGAGAGAUAAUGAAGUAGCAUAGAUUAAUAAAUGCUCUUUGGCUUUAGCAACACGCUGGGGGGUGGAUUUCCUCUGUCAGCCUGGGGAAAUGUUUGCUACAAAGUUACAACAAAAGCCUGAAUCCUAUUAAAAGUAAUACGAUGAGAUACAUUGCCAAGCCAUGAGGCUGUCCCUGCUGCCCUUCCCUGGCUGUCAUUCCAGGCAUACAAUUAAAGGCAGAAGCAGCACAGUGAGAAGGGUUCAGAUGCAUGGACUGCUACAGCAAACGUUGCAGCUGUUUCUGUAAUCCCCCCCUGCCCUUCCUUUGCACACAGAAUCUGUGAUACUGUAUCACUGCAGCAUUGUACUCCCUGUUUUCUUUCCACCUUGGGAUGGCAGCGCGCUGUGUUAAGCACAUUGAAUGUUGUGUUGGCAGAACUGAAGGAUUUGAGGGGAAAAAACGAUGUUGCGAAAGACAGAAGGGGUGAGAACAGCAGGGAGGAGGGGAGAGGUUCCAUUUGCUGCUCUGGAUUCAGGCAGCAAUGGACACAGGGCAGCAAUGAGAUGCUGGAGUAGCACUGCUACAAAGAGUGCAGUUGGGUCUGCUGAGGAUGAUGUAAAAAGCUUCUUGCUCACCGGAUGCAUUCAAUGCCUUCUAAUCUGCGGUUUAUGCAUAUAUGGGAUAUUUUCUGUACACUUUAAUAUCCACACAAACUAAAUUUCCUCCCUUUAGAUAUGUUUUAAACAUUAGAUUGGCUUUUUCUCUGGAAUAGAGGCUUUCCUCAAGGGAAGUGCUUGGAGCUUUUGUCCUUUGCUAACACUGUCAGGGUCUUUCAUCCAGAAUUAAUGGUUGAUAAGGCACGCUUAUCAAUAUCCAAACUUGAUUUAAUCAAAGUAUGGUGAGCAGAGCUUCCAGGGCAUGUUGUAUCUACAGCAUGAAGCUCUUUGCCAUGAAGGGCUUUACAAUGUAGGACUGCUUGUGCCGUUUAAUUGUCCGUAGAUUUGGCUGCACUGAGUAAUGUAAUGAAAAGCAGAUGGAAAGCAAAGAACUUCCUGUGUUUUUUACUGUUAUUUACAGAAAGAGGCUUUGAUUUGCAGAAGUGAUGAGGGCAACAUUUUAAUGGAACCAUAAAAUCUUGCAAUGGUCUUAAAUAUGGAACCAAUGAUGACAGAGGUUCAAAUGGAAACAAAAGGCAGCAGGAGCGGGGAGCCGUGUGCUGAAGUGCAAAGUGCUUCUAGAAACAGCAUUUCCAAGGGCUGUGGAAGUCAUUCUAAGUGUGCAUUUGGGAAUUGCCAGUGGGUUGUGGCUGUGUUUCCUUUCCUUGUCCAGCUCUGGCUGUAUCUGCAGCAGUGUCUGUGUGUGCUCACUGCUUUGCACACAUAGCCCUUCCAGGCUUCUCAGCCAUCCUCCAUCCUGCUUAGGGCAAUGGAGCCAAUGGACCCAACAUCUCUACCCAUGUUUGUGGAGGAUGUUUUUCAAAUCCCUUAUCCAUUCAUUUAAUUCAGAUUUAAUGAGGAAGCGUGCUCUUCUUAUAUGAGAUGAAGGGUAUGUGAAGGGGGGUGUUUACUUAAAAGGUCGGGAAGAAUAAGGUGCAAAUAGAUGGGACGUGCUGCAGAUGGCAGGGCUGAACAGCCAUUUGACACUGAUGAGUGCAUAAUGUCUUAAUUAGUGUUUUUAUAAGGAAAAUAUGGAAAGAAAAUGCACCUAAUUAGUACCAUUCUCCUUAACCUUCAGUAAACAAACUGUUUCAAUAAAGCUAAAUUAAAUUAAAUGAAAAUGUUACCGAGGCAAUGCAGGUGCUGUUUGCAGGGUGGAAGCAGACAGGGAGCAAACACACAGAGCACUCAGGGCUCCUAAAGCAGGCUGUGGUCAGAAGACAGAACAUGUGCAGUCAGUACUGACAGACCGAAGGGCCAAUCCUUGAAGAAAUCAUGUUUUCUCAGCUCCUAUGGGGUGAGAGGACAAAGGUUUGGGGAUGAAAGGUCAGCAGUGUGAGCUGGGAAAGGAGCUCAGCAGGGCAGUGCCAGCAUCACAUUGCUGCUCUGACCUGGAGGGGGGGGGGGGUUGUGGAGAGGAAAGCAUCUUAAGCAAUGAAUGCAGAGAAUGGAAUGUAAGAUAAAGCAGCUGUUUGCUUUAGCUCUGCAAGAGAUGGAGGAAAGCUGAUGAAUGUGUAAGAAAACCAUUCAUGCACACAGUAAACAUACAGAUUUGUGGGGUAUUUUUAAUUGUUGCCGCUAAUGGAUCAGCGCUGUCUGUUUAUAUAAAGACACACUGCAACUUCCAGCCCUGUUUCUGACUCAACAAAGUGCUUAACCAUAAACACAUGCUUAGCAGGCACUGCAAGGACCGCAAAGAAAGCGGAGGUUUCGCUGUGCUGCUCAGCGGGGUGGGCCUUGUGCAGAGCUCAGGCAAUGCCAAGUGUGUUGUUUCUGAGCUGGGACACGCUGGGUGGGGAAUUCCUGGAUCCCAAUGAAUUUCCAAAGCAUCUGUUUCUUUCUUCCUGGUUUCCCUCUUGUUUCCAUCUCUCUGUUCCCUUUCUUCCCCCUGCACACAGCAGGCAGUGGCACUGAGGCUCUGAAGGAUAUCCAGGAAUCCAAAACAAAGCUCAAUCCGACACGUGCCUUGGUGAAAACCCUUUGGACAUAAGACAUAACACAGCAGGGAAACAAAGCAACUGCUUCUCAGCCUCUUUUUAGGUGCUGCCCGUGCUAAUGUGAGCCUCCCAGCAAUAACCUAUUGCUGGUGAUGUGGCUGUGUCUGCAAGCAUCCUAUUUUACCAUUAAGCUCUUGCUUACAUGCACAGCUCCUCCUGGGAUGUCAUAAACCGCUCUUAAAAUUGGAUAUGUAAAUACCGCGUGUGUGCCUAUCUAUAAAAAAGCAAGUAAUAUAUGCGUGCAUGUAGAGAUGCAUAUGUACUUUCCCUGUGUACACACUUCCAGCCCGUUGGCAUGGAGAUGGGGCUGUGUUACUAUGGUAAUGGGGAUGCAGGGCUCCAGCUGCUGUUCUGCUGGAGAGCACAGGGUGGGCGAUGCUGCUUCCUGAGCACUGGAGGGGGAGAUGCACUUAGAAACAGGCAGCACCUCGGAAAGGAGCUCUGCCUGCAGCUCCCAGCCCUACCAAAGGUGUGCAGGCUGCAGCUGUGCUUAAACCCGCUGUGAUUCAUCCUCCACCAUUGGCCAAACUCAGCUGUGAUCUAUUCUAUGUGGUUUUUUAUUCUAUGUGAGCUUUAAAAGUAGCAGGAGCUGCUGCCUGCCUGCUCCUACAGCAUCUCUUCUGCCCCAUUUGGGGGAAUCAGCUGAAACAAAGUCCUACAAGUGAACAAAUAUCAGAUAACUUUUUUUCUGCAGACAGCAUUGAAUGUCUGACCAUGAGAACAUCCUUUUAUCUGUUUUUGAUUUCAGCCUCCGGUGGCAAACCUGAAAUACUGGCCACAGAAAUGCAAUUUGUAAAUCCCAGCCAUCCCUAAGUGAGGGAUGAGCAGGGAAUGUGAAAUGCUCCAGAUCAAUUCCUGGAGACACACAGCAUUAGGAACUCAAUGUUUUUUCCUCCUUAAUCCUUUAAUCCUUGACUGGUGCAGCUGUUUGUGGCAGUGGUAGGAAGCAGAACUCCCACAUUUGGGCAGCGUUUGUAGGCACCCACGGUUGUGUAGAUCAGCUCCAAGACCUGCCCGUCCUCUCCUUCCCUCCCAACCCCCACAGCACAGAGCCUUUGUAAGCUCAGAAACAAAUGCCGUGUGUGCAAAGCAAGCACUUUGCAGGCAUCAGUUAUCUCACGUGAGCGUUGCCUGUGCAGUCACAUGGAUGCUGAGCAGAAGGCUGAUCGCUCUGCACCUUGUGGCUGUGUGGCACAGUGACAGCACAGGUGUGGGGCAUCAGUGAAUGAGGCCUCUGUGUCCAACCUGGGCCAGGUCCACGCUUGUGUUUUUCCUGGCACAGCUGGUCAUGCUGUAAGUAAGGAAGAGAUAGCAGACAGAGCUGGCACAGCUUAUCUGCCAAAGAAAGCCCAUGGCUGUUGGCCUCAGCAGUGCUAUGCCAGCCCUGUGCUCAGGCAGAGAGUUCUGCCCACCUUGGAAUGGGGAGAUUGAAGAUGCAGGUUGAUUUCUGCACUCCCUCUGUGCCAUUUCUUCUCUGGGGCAGCUGAAUGAUAGCUUUGAGAUCCCAGUGUUUGAGGAGUGGAUGUGUGGUGAGCCUGGGCUGUGUUUCUUAAGGAGUCUGAGCUGGAAAAGGAAUAAUGGUGGUGUAUGAGUGAGUGCACAGUCUGUAUAUUGUCAUUAAUAUGAAAGCACUGUGUUAAUGGUUCUGUUAUGGAACUGAAGGUGUUUGUGGGGGGUGGUGCUGGGGUGGCCGUGCCCAAUGCUCGGUGCUCCUUCUCACUGCUCUCUAUGUGAUCCAGUUGGAAGUGCUUGUUAUUUUUAAACGAGGCUUUUUUCCUUUCUCACAAGCUCUGUCAGAGUGGGACUCGGCUCUAAGAAUAGUUGGCUUGAGCAAAGCUCUGUGUUUGUGGUAAGAGCUCUGAAUUCCUGGCAGAAAGGUGGUCGGUUCUGCUCUCCUUUCCCAUGCGUAAUUGUGAAUCAUUCCUGACUAAUUGGAUAACCGCAGGAGCCAAAUUGUUGAACCACAACAGAAAGCUCUCCAGGUGGCUUUAGCCAUAGCUGGUGGCUCUUGGCUCUGACCUCUCCUGGCAGUGGCACGUGGAGUCACACAGUGAUGCUCACAUCAAACCUCUCUGGUGUGUGCCCAUGCCCUGCCAUUCCUCCUUGCCUCUCUGCUCUCUCCCUCCCUUCCCCCCCCCUCCAGCAGCAGCAUUAAGCUGCUGCACAGCAGAGAUCACAGCAUUACUCCGGCCUUUAGGGCUUGCUCAUGAAUCAGCCUGUAUCUGCAAUUAGUUUGGAAGACUCGGCUGAUCUGAAGUUUCAUCUGCAGGAUUUCAUUUAAGAACUCGUGUCGGUGUCGCACUCAUUCUUCUUCAGCACUGAAUCCUGUAACAGCAGCAGAAAGCUUGCAUCAAAUUCUUUGACCUGUUCUCAUGGGAACUUGCUUUUGCUAAAGGGAAGGAAGAACGUUCCUGGUAGCAGGAUGUGGGUUCUGUAUGUGCAGUGGUUGAAGCUGGGCACACACAGAGCUGGAUUCCAGCGGUCACGGCUUGGCUGCUAAGGAAAAAAGAAACGUGAUACAGUCAUAGUCCAAGCAAAACGAUCCAGCAAUAAAUACCGAGCAGAAUAAAUAGCUGGAGAAAAGCAUUAUUAGGAGUUAUGAGUCAGCAAGCAGUUCUGAAAAUAACACAUUUGGACACCAAAGAUGUGUUUUAUCUCCUGAUGAUCGGCAUGUCUGCAUACCUAGAAGCAGAUCCCUCUUUAAUCUCCUGACCCUGAGGUUGCCCAGCUGACCCAGUGAGCUGUGAGCCCACGGUUCAGAGAUGGAUUGGUGAAGUGCAUUGCAGCCCUAUGUGAACUGAGGCACUGGGGGUCAGCGUGGCUCAAUAGAGCACGGCAGUGUUCAUUCCUCAAGCAGAUGCAGAUAAUGCCGUGCGCUGGAGACAAGUGGGGCUGAGUGAAUCAGCCCCGCUGGGUUUUGUCCCCUCUGCCUUCAGCUCGGGUUGCUGACAUAGCUGGGGCUGGGAAUCAGGCUAUAAAUGAGGUCACUGCAAAACGCUCCGUGUCCUUUUGCUUUGGAUUUAAACAACAGACCUGGGGAAAAUUUGGGACAGAAAUACUUGAUUUUUCAGCCACAAAGUGUGUUGGUUCCCAGCCACGCAGGUGGGAAGGAGCACUGCUUCCUCCCGGUGCUUAGGUCCGGUCCGGCCGUGCCCGAAUUGGACAGCAGAGAUUUUUCCUGGCUCUUGGGGAGGGCUCCGCUUGGGCGGGGGGGGUGACAGCCGUCCCUUACCAGCUGUUAGCAAACCUUUGACCUCAGCGAGGUGUUCUCUGUACCCUUCGGGGCGUGAAGCUCAAUUUAGCUCCGGGAGAAAGCGGUGGGCAAAGCACAGCGUGUGCUGCGUCCCGAUAACGGAGGUUGGGAGGGGGCGCGAUCAGGAACGCUGCCCGGAUUGAGCCGCGUCCCUCUGCGCUCCAUCCCCGAAGGAGGCACCUGGGGAGGUGGAGCCGGGCUGCAGGGCGCAGUGCCGGGGAGGGGCCUGACGGUUCUCGGGGGCGGUGAGCUCCGCACCUCCGCUCCGGCUGCAUUGAGAGCCGCGGGAGCCCCGGGCUGCGCGGGUCCGGGCGGGCGCUGCCGCCGGAGCACGUCGGGGAGGUAAGGGAGCACCGCGCGGAGCGGCUCCGGCUCUUUCCUUAUGUAAGGCUUGCGUUUGUCUGUCCCCGAGGCCACUUGUUGCCUAGUAACUUGUCAGGUAUUCGGUUUGCCGCUUUGGGGAACG